UAUGAAUCACUAAAUGUGGUUUUUAUGUCUACCUACCAAUAAAUGUUUUGAAUGAAUCUUAUCAAAGUGAGGGAGGAAAUUCAGACAAAUCCAGAUUGGGAGAUAUUCUAGAAAACAGCUCCAGUGGACUUUUAAAAAACUCAAUAAAAAUCCAAAAAAGCCAGGGAAUCCAUCCUGAAAAAGGGAUACCACAUCCAGGUCUAUCAGCUGACCCCUUGAUCCAGCACUGGUUGAAGCAGGAAGUUAUGACCUUUGAAGGACAAUUGGAGAACUUUGUGUGUGGAUGUCCUAUACAUUGGAGAAUGUUACUGAAUCAUUGUUAGUUUUUGCUUUCCUAUAGUUCACAAGAAUGUCCUUAUUCUUAAGAGAUGCUUACUGAAUCAUUGAAAGUCGAAAGUUCUAGUGACUACUUUCAAAUGGCUCAGAAAUUAAUAUGUUGCCAGGCGUGGUUGCACAUGCCUGUAAUCUCAGCACUUGGGAAGCUGAGGCAGGAGGAUCACUACAAGUUGGAGGCCGGCCUGGGCUACAAUAGUGACUUCAAGACCAGAACUACAUAGCAAGAUCCUGUCUGAAAAAACAAAACAGGGCCGGGGAUUUAGCUCAGUGGUUCUGCGGCCUGCCUCACAAGCUCAAGGUCCCAAGUUUGAUCCCUGGUACCAAAAAAAAAAAGAAAGAAAGAAAGAAAUGCAUCAUAUACAGUACAUUACAUUCCAGGAUAGGUUCAAGCCCUGGGCAGAUAGGGAGUCUUGAAGGUAGAUAGCAAGGUAUGUCCUUGGCAGCAUUAACAGGUUAGAUAGGGAGAUAUGUUCUUGGCAGAGCUAGCAAGAAAAUAUGUGCUUAUGAUAAUCAUUCAUUACAGACUACAGAACUUUGGAGUUCUUAACUCCAAUUUCAAACUAAUCCGUACCCACUUCCUUUUCACUGGGAUUACGGUGGGUGCCACCAUGCAUAUAGUUAUUUUCUUUUACAGGUUCUCAACCAUACUUCUGAAGAUGGAGUCAGAGAGCCUGCAUGUUUUUUCUCCAAUAGCACUUGGAAUAUGGGAGUGGGAGAAGGGAAAGCAGAUAUGGGAUGGAGAGGUUAGACCUAAACUGGACCACAAUCUGUUCACCUAUGGGCAUUGAUACAGUAAUCAGAAACCUACCCUUGGAGUCCUUAUCAACAUCUCGAUAAAUUGCCCAGGUUGGCCUCGAACUUGAAAUCUUCCUUCAUCAGCCUCCCGCGUAGUUGGGAUGACAGGAGUCCAGCUCAACGAAGAAUUCCAUGAGGACGGGAGGUGAGAAGUAGCUAGAGUCAGCUGGAAAGAAAGGAAGGAGCCCUACCUUGGAGACCAAUUUGUAGGCUAGAUCCACCUUCUGUGUUAAACUUUGUCACCAGUGGACACAGGGGCCACUCUUGACACCAAAGGCACUUGAGGCCACUUUGGGGCUCAGAGGAGCUGAAGGGAGUCAGCAAGUCUGCCAAACAAAGAUCCCAAGAGUUGAGCAAUCUCCUGAAUGCAACAAUUUAUUGAGCAUUUACCACAUUCAUAGAAAGAGAGAAGGGAUCUCACCCAGACAUAAGCUAGGAGCUGGAGGUGGCACUGACAGUGCAGGACUUUCUUCCACCUGGCCUACACACUGUGUGAACACCGUGGGCCCAACAGGCAGCACUGGAACUCAGCGAUCUGCAGGCUGAGCACUGGAACUCAUGGCGAUCCAGAGACCAGUACAGCCAGGGAGCCAAGUGGGGAAUCCGGAUGGGCAGAGUGAUGGUCACAGACUGUUGCAGAGCUCAAGCAGCAGCUCCUCAAAGAGCAAUAUGAGGGCAGAGUCCAUAAGCAUUAAGCCAGAAGACCAAGCCCAAGAGCAGCUCAAGAC
ensembl:lncRNA